UGGGCCAGGAAGGUCGCAUCGUCAGCUACGCCCUGGCGACGGGGGACUUGGAGGUUCGGCCGAGUCCGUGACGCGGGCAGUCCGAGGUGCAGCCGUCGACCUCGGAGACGUUCGAGCGAGGCUACUUGGACCAGCGGCAGCAUCACACGGCAGGCCGGGCACUCCAGAAAGGCUUCCCCUUCAUCGGCAGACCAGCGCGUUCGAUGAUCGCCGGAACGCCACGUCGGCACUUGAGAAAGGAGCUGGACGAAAGCAACGGCCGAGAACGUCGUUAGGCCUAAUCCGCCCGGCCUCUCUGCCACGUCAGCAUCAGCGAUCGGGUUAUAGGCGUCCACCAAGGCGACGACAUCGUCAAGAUUGCCGGGAGCAACGACUCAGAAAAAGACUUGGACGAAGAGAGCCCCAUGAGUCAGCGUCAAGAAACGUGAGGACGUUACAGCUGUCCACCAAGGCGACGACAUCGUCAAGAUUGCCGGGAGCAACGACUCCGAAAGAGACUUGGACGAAGAGAGCCCCAUGAGUCAGCGUCAAGAAAC